rnacentral:rRNA from 1 species
GGACUACUGGGGUAUCUAAUCCUGUUUGCUCCCCACGCUUUCGCUCCUCAGCGUCAGUAUUUGUCCAGAAGGGCGCCUUCGCCACUGAUGUUCCUUCCGAUAUCUACGCAUUUCACCGCUACACCGGAAAUUCCCCCUUCCUCUACUCUACUCUAGUCUGACAGUAUUAGAUGGCAUUCCCAAGUUAAGCCCAGGUAUUUCACAUCUAACUUAUCGAACCGCCUACGUGCGCUUUACGCCCAAUAAUUCCGAUUAACGCUUGCACCCUCUGUAUUACCGCGGCGGCUGGCAC